GUAUAAGACCAGCUGUCAAACAAUGACUGGCCGUGUCAGUCUGCAAGUGUAUAAAGUUAACCCUAUACGGAUUGUGUAGGACUAUAUGAUCCGUAUUAAAAAGCAAAGUGUGAUGAUAGAUUCCAGGUUAAAUCUGGACAACCAUGCCCAUCUCCAUCACUGUACAUCAAUAGUGCCAUCCUAGAUAUGUUGGUUGCAUACUCGAUAAACCCACGUUCAAAUUGAGAAUUGGCAUGUGCUCGUUCUUUGUUUAUUUUCUUCCAUGUCUCCAAGAUCAACUCUUUGAUGUACUCUCUGGCUUCUUCUUCAGUAGCAC
rnacentral:lncRNA from 1 species